AAAAGGUGGCUAUGCUACCGCUUUUGGAUGGGCCCGCGGCGCAUUAGCUAGUUGGUAGGGUAAAGGCUUACCAAGGCAAUGAUGCGUAGCCGAAUUGAGAGGUUGAUCGGCCACAUUGGGACUGAGACACGGCCCAAACUCCUACGGGAGGCAGCAGUAGGGAAUCUUCCACAAUGGACGAAAGCCUGAUGGAGCAACGCCGCGUGGGUGAAGAAGGUCUUCGGAUCGUAAAACCCUGUUGUUAGAGAAGAAAGUGCGUGAGAGUAACUGUUCACGUUUCGACGGUAUCUAACCAGAAAGCCACGGCUAACUACGUGCCAGCAGCCGCGGUAAUACGUAGGUGGCAAGCGUUAUCCGGAUUUAUUGGGCGUAAAGGGAACGCAGGCGGUCUUUUAAGUCUGAUGUGAAAGCCUUCGGCUUAACCGGAGUAGUGCAUUGGAAACUGGGAGACUUGAGUGCAGAAGAGGAGAGUGGAACUCCAUGUGUAGCGGUGAAAUGCGUAGAUAUAUGGAAGAACACCAGUGGCGAAAGCGGCUCUCUGGUCUGUAACUGACGCUGAGGUUCGAAAGCGUGGGUAGCAAACAGGAUUAGAUACCCUGGUAGUCCACGCCGUAAACGAUGAAUGCUAAGUGUUGGAGGGUUUCCGCCCUUCA
rnacentral:rRNA from 1 species